UCUCUGUCUCUCUCUCUCUCUCUCUCUCUCUCUCUCUCUCUCUGUCUCUCUCUCUCUCUCUCUCUCUCUCUGUCUCUGUCUCUCCUCUCUCUCUCUCUCUGUCUCUCUCUCUCUCUCUGUCUCUCUCUCUCUCUGUCUCUCUCUCUCUCUCUCUCUCUGUCUCUCUCUCUCAGUGGUGGGAUCCACUCCUGUUCUCUCUUUAACUGGAGCAGGAGGAGGACAGAUAAACGUUAGCUGUCAGUCACAUGGGUGGCUUCCUGAGCCGUCAAUCACCUGGACAGAUAAAGAGGGGAGAGAUCUGAAACAUCUGAGCAAAGACAAGUUCAGCAACAGUUCUGAAGGGGUUGUGGAUGUGUCCUCGUGGCUGAUUGUGUCUCCCUCGGAGUCUGAGUGGAUCUCCUGCUCUGUGGGUUUGUCUGAUCAGGAGAGAAAAGAAGGCAGAAUAAUGUUAUUCGUCCCUGCAGGUGUCACGGAGUCGUGGAGUGGAUACUUCAUUGUGAUUCCCAUCCUUCUUCUUCUUCUUCUUCUUCUGCUGUGUGCUGCCGGAAUUACAGUGUAUCGUAAAAAAGGUCUGAUUUUUCUCCAAGAGAAAAGGGACAGAAUAUACAGAAGGAACUCCAUCAGAAACUGCACCUCUGAGUAACAUCUGUAUGGAGAGUCAGGAUCAGAAUGAUGCUCCAUCUAUAAUUCCUCAUUCUGUGGUUGUAGAUAUAGAUCAACCUUCUGAGCAAAGGGAAAAAACGCCACCAGCUCCAUGUCCAGAUCUCAAUCAGCAGAAAUCAUCUGAACAGCAGAAUCCUGAAGAAGUGAAAGAAACCCCACACGUUGCAGAAUCCAGAGAAGAGGACCCAGGAUCCUGCUCCUCCUCACCAGGGUUCUCCACUGCUGGUUCAACCACUGAUAAACCAAACUUCACUCCCACCACCUCAAAUCCCACACCUGCUGCUACCAUCUCAGAGUCUGCCACUGUCUCCACAACAUCUGCAGGAAGUUUCAGCUCAGCCAAUAAACAUCCUACCAAAAAUGCUGAAAGAAAAAGAAAAAACACCAAAGGGAGAAAGAACAAAGACAGAGCAAAUGAAACAGAAAGCUCUUUUAACAAAGCUAAAGCAAGAGAAAUCAGUACCAGGACAUUUAACAUGGAAAGCAAAGCAGACUGCUCUGAGUCCAAGCAUCUCUGUAAGCAAGAAGCAGUAGAGAGUGAAGAUUUGGUCCAAGUGAAAAAAUUCAAAGUGAACAUCACCAUCGACGGAGAGGAAACUCCAGAGUUCCUGACACACGAGGAAAGGAGGUGAAGUGCUCCACUCCAGUGAAUACAUGGGACAGAAAUCCUGAUGAUGAUAAAAUCUUCACUCUGUGUAAAGAGAAGUUUCACUGUGGUAAACGUUAUUGGGAGGUGAAAGUGAGAGCGUCACAUAAAGAAGAGAAACUGUCCUGGUUCGUUGGUGUAGCGAGUGAUGCAGCUGAGAGAAAGUACAGCGUCCCGUUUACACCACACAAUGAACUCUGGGUUCUCUGCUAUGAAAGAGAAACAGGGCUUUAUAUCGGAGACGAAACAGAACGCAUUUCAGUCCCAGACGUUAAUAAAGAGCUCACAGCAGUGGGAGUGUUUUUAGACUGUGAUAAACACACACUGUCAUUUUAUAAUAUUGAUACACAAUCACACAUCUACACUUUCACUAACGUGGAGCCCAAAACACCUCUGCGUCCUCUGAUCAGCCCCGGAGUCCGAGACAGUCAUCCUGUACGCAUUCUUUAGUAAAGUAAUCUUAUCUGUAUUUCUAUCAUUUGUGAUUAUGAAGUGUACGUAACACAUUCACAACAUCUUCCAUCUCUGAAUAGUGAAAUGAUUCCUCACAGCUGUAAAUACGCUCCUUUAGUACGGCUUACUGUAGUUAGAAAAUACAUUUUUAUGAUAUCGUUACUGAUAUGACAAUAAAGUGUGGACAUGUAAGUUUGCUGCUUUACUGUCGGUUUUCUGUUUUGCUUUGAACUUUGUGAAUGAUUUCAUUAAAAUGGAACAAAUUUUAUAUAUAUAUAUAAAAAAGAGACAUUGCUGUAAUUUCUUGUUUUGUGUGUAAAGUAAGUAGAAGAUGACUGUGGCAGGUUUAACACUUUUAUUAACACAAACUGCAGUAGUUCGUCAGAAUUCAUAUUAUACAUUUCUGUAUAAAGUAUCAUUUGGUUUUGAAAUUCUGAUAUUUAACAGAACUUUAAACACGCAGUAGAGAUGUAUAAUCUGCACUUUAAUCUAGUACAAUAACACAAAGGCCUAAAUAAUCAGAUAUGGCACAUACUAUUAGACUGUCUUGUGCUUCUUUAAUAAUAGAUGUAAUAUAUAAGGAAUAAACAGUGUGCGUUUGUACAGUAAAAUGAUGAAGCACUGUCACGAUUUCAAGGCAGAGACGGAUACCAGUGCAGAUUUACUUUUAAUUAAUAGCACAACAAAACAAGAACUAUAAACACGAUGCAAAACACUGAGGCAAAGACUAAACAUAAACCAAAGACCUUAAACACAGCAGCAUAGACAACGGCAAAGGAAAACAAACGUCAGAUACAGAGUGCAGUGUAAACUGUGCUAUACACAGGAGUGCUUGUUAACAAGAAUGUGAUUCAGGUGCAGGUGGUCACGUGACUGUGAUGCAGUGAGGUGCAGUGGCUGCUGGGAACUGUAGUUCAGAGUUCCUUCUCUAAUACAUGACACAGACUUACA
ensembl:lncRNA